ACGAAGGGGACUAGCGUUGUUCGGAAGCACUGGGCGUAAAGCGCACGUAGGCGGAUAUGUCAGUCAGGGGUGAAAUCCCGGGGCUCAACCUCGGAACUGCCUUUGAUACAGCAUAUCUUGAGUCCGAUAGAGGUGGGUGGAAUUCCUAGUGUAGAGGUGAAAUUCGUAGAUAUUAGGAAGAACACCGGUGGCGAAGGCGGCCCACUGGAUCGGUACUGACGCUGAGGUGCGAAAGCGUGGGGAGCAAACAGG
rnacentral:rRNA from 1 species